UCCAGGGGCUGCGGCGAGCUUGCAGAGCCUAGUGCAGCGUGGGGGGCAGGAGGGGGCGCUCCGAGCUGGCCCAGCCCAGCUGCCCAGAGUUCGCCAGCCCCGGGCGGGAGGCUACGUACGCGCCUGGGAGCCGGAUGCAUAGUGCCCACAUCGCCUUCCAGCGGCCAGGGACCGCCCGGGUAUUUGCUCAGUUGCCCCCCACGUGUGCCCGCCACCUUCUUUCCCGGCUUCCUUCUCGGAAUAGGUUCCCGCUGCCGCCGUAGUGCCGGGACCAACCCACCUCCUGGCGGGCGCACAUGGGGACCGGCUAAGCACGGUGCGGGGAUGCCAGGGUGGCUGUAGGGAGCGAGUCCCAUCACUGCGGCUGGCUGUCACCUCCCAAGCACCUCGAGGUAAAAGCACUUCUCUGAGUUUUUGUCUUUCCCUCCCUUUCUCCCCUCACCAUUUCCUUGGUCGAUGGAAUCCCAUUCACUAUCACCUGUAGCAGCAACUGCAAGAGUUUCAUCAGGUUCCAGACACUGUCUCCGAGCGGAGAAAAGCAUCCCCUCCCAACACACACACACACACACCCCGGAGCAAUUCCAGGGAGGAAGAACCGCAUUCCCUGAGACCAGAGACCUGCUUUCAGGGGAGGUAUCCCUGGCCGGCACUCCACAAAGGCCGGCCCUGGACUAUCCUAGGCCCAACUCUGCUUGCUUAUCUCUACAGCCUGUGUCCACACACCCUUCUGGGCAGUGCUUGAGACUACAUUCCACUCAAAAGUUUCUAACCACUUCACAAGACCGAGAGACCUUCCAGGGGCAUGCAGUUUCUUUUUAUCUUUUAGUACAUUUUUUUUUUUAGAGAACAUGAUUUGCUUUCCCAGAAAACACAUGGAUUCAGGAUAGAGUGGGGGCUACCACGGGAAAAGCCCAUCUGAGCCACACACUAACUUGCUCCACUAGCUUCAUGAAGCCCUCGGAUCCUGGGAUGUACCCACCCAUUCUGCCAAGAAUCCACGCAUCUGAAAACCAAAGCUAGACUCUUGCUUUUUUUUUCCCCUCAAGCCCUUCUUCAGCUAACAUUGCUCCAUGUAGCUAAGUAGAGGGAAUGCAAAUGAUUUAUAUUUCCCUGGCUAGGUUGAAGAAACUCAAGGGAGAUGUGUUCUGCUUCAAGACAGGAAAGAAAAAAAAUCCCCAAAACUGUAAUGCAAAGGCUUUGUAGUAUUUUUAAACCUUUGAUUCAGUCCAUAUGUGACAUCUGAACACCGCCAAAUUCUGUUACAAAACACACACACACACACACACACACACACACACACACACACACACACUCCUAGCAAGAGAGAAAAGUUGGGUUUAGCAGCCCUGGUGGUGUAAAGAGGGUCGGCUGAGUUCUCCCUUUAAAUUAUUGAGUAUUGAGGGAGCCUCCUCCUGAGCGGGUUUUGCGUGGCCUCUCUGCGUUAGCAGUCGCCUUUAAAGGAGGGGGAGAAACAUGUAAAAAAUAAUAGAAAAACUUUGAGGGGGCUUACCUGGUUGGCUUCUCACUUUGUGUCCUGAAAAGUACAGAGCUAAGAAAACCCAGGUAAGAGGGAACAUAUCCAUUUUUGAAAGAGAGGCUUUCUCCAGGGCUAGGCUUGUGGAAUCUCGUAUAAUUAUGUCUUUGUGUUUUUCCUCUCUCUAAUUUUCUUCCUUGUGGUGUCUUCUGUAAAGGUCUCUAAUGGCCAGCGUUUCCCUCCUGGGUCCUGGUGGCCCGUCUGUCUUCACCUUUAAUUCUUGCUGGAAUCCCCACCUCACUAGGAGAUAGCUUCUGGAAUCAGCAAAGAGGGAGCAAGCUGGGGUAAGCGGGGGACCGGUUUUCUCUUCAAACCCAAACGCGUGUAUGUUCUCUCCAGUUCCUCAAAGUGUCAUUUCCUUUAUCCUACAACAUCACGAGGGUUUCCCGAAAGCCAAGCGUAAAAUAAUAGUAAUGAUAAUAAUAAUCAAAGCCAAGACUUGCCCUGGGCAUUACACGGCCCCUAGGCAGCUGUGUGAUCUCAGAGGCGCAAACUGACACAGGUCCCCCACCGGCGGCACCCGGGACACACACGCGGGCAGAGACACCGACCGCUGGACAGGCGGAGUGGGAGGCAGCCAGCCUCCGGGCUCUUGUCCUCGCCGGGUUCCCUCAGCGGGAGCCUCCCCCGGCGGCUACACCCGCUUGGCCAGUCUCUCGAGGGGAGCGCGAGGCAGGAAGCGGCGGCUGCCGGGGCUGCUGCUGGUGCUGCUGCGGGUGCGGCGGCGGCGGCGGCGGCGGCGGCGGCUGGGAUCGCCCGCGAGUGUGCGAGCGGCUCUCCGAGUUCGCUGGCGCCCGCCCUCACCUCCACCUCGCCCAGCGGCCGGCCGAGUGUCUGCGCUUCUGAGGAUGUGCCGGGGGCGGGCUGCGGGCUGAUGCCUCGCUCGCCUCCUCUGCCUCCCCUCCGGCUCCCCCCUCGCCUUUUCAGGCCGAGCAGCAUGUGGAUGUCAGAGCCGCGGCAGAGCGAUCCGAUUACGCGCCGGCUCAGGGCCCGCCCCUUCUGUGUUCCUGAUUAAAGAGGCAGCGGCGGAGACGCGCGGCGCAGAGCCCAGGGCCGCGGCACCCAGCUCGGGCGGGGCGCUGGGGGCUCACCACCCCGCGGCCGCGCGAUCAAAGUUAAGGUGCCUCGCACCCCGCCGCCCCUCUGCCAGCCCCGCACCUCCCUCCCGCCCUGCGCACCUCGGUGCGGGGCUGCGGGUGUGUCACACCCCGAGGAUGGAGCGCCCUCCCUUCAGGGCGCGCUGCCCCUGCCGGGAGGAAAACUCCGCGGAGCUCGGGAAAUGCUUGUUCCCCCCCCCCCGCUAAAUUCCGAGACUCGGGUGCCACACACGCAGAAUCCGACACAAUGCCACCUGCAAUGGCGUUGCAGGAGGAGUUUGGGUGGCGGACUGUGUUUGGGGUAGGGAGACUGUCGGCGGCUCAGCCAUGUGUUCCCAGAGGCAGCGGUGCGUGGAGGCGACACACACCGUCAGCCCUAGCUGAGGGCAAACCCCAAAUACUCCUUGUGUUUACUACUCAGAUCCUUUUUUUGUGUCCCAAACAGGAUCCUCUGCUUUCUGGGUAAGGAUUUGCUUACCCCUGUACCCUUAACUUGUAGUUAUCUUAAGACGAAGAAUGUUUUCAUUCAAUCAAGAAUUUCUCCAGGCAUUUAAGUUGUUCCCCGGCCACCCAACACACCUUCAAGCUUCUGCGCAUAGCACAGGUACAUGAAGGCCUCUUGGAAGGCAACUGUAACUACUUCUCUGCUCAUGUUUCCCCAAGGAAAUGUGGUCACAGUGUUGACAGAAAGAAAAUAGCAUUAUGUUAACUAUUUUUAAGUGGAGGCAUGAAAACUGUCUAAAGGUGCGUAUACGCUAACAGUUGGGGGAACACUUGCGUCUUUGUUUCUGAGGGUGGCUUGGCGAUCCCCGUCAUGUUCACCAGGCAUCAUAGCUUUACCACGAUCAAGAUUCAAUAAAACACGCCUGGCUAACAUUGUGAUCCCGUUCCUAACAGCCUGCAGAUUAAGAAAUAGAAAGUUUGGGUGACAAGGAACACACAUCUGACAAUACCAUUUUCUCGCAGGCUUGAACUUGAGGUUUCUUCUGGGUGGUUUCUGUCCUUAUCUGGACUUGCCAUUAGCUUUGUUGAUCACAUUCAGUGUUUGAAAAAUCUGUAACUCUCACUUAACUGUUGUUUACACGGAAAUAAACCCAAACAAAACUGAAUCA